GAAUUUCAUCUCUCCUCUUCCACUUCAUACUUCUGGUUCACUCAAGAGCGUAGCAUGGGGAUUCAUGGAAUUGGAGAUGUUUGUUGUGCAUUAGUUUCUUGGGAGACACUCAUGGACUUCUUUUGGGCCUUUGCUCAAGUUUCUUGGUGAGGAGCCGCAAACACUUAGGAUCCUAAUCUCAGCAACAUUAGACCUCAUUCUUUCCUUACAAACUAUGCAUCUAUCUGCCUCUGCAGCCCCUAGUG